rnacentral:rRNA from 1 species
UUCGGUGGCGAUAGCGAAGAGGGUACACCCGUUCCCAUCCCGAACACGGAAGUUAAGCUCUUCAGCGCCGAUGGUACUGCGCGGGGGACUGCGUGGGAGAGUAGGUCGCCGCCGACA